rnacentral:rRNA from 1 species
GAUGAACGCUGGCGGCGUGCUUAACACAUGCAAGUCGAACGAUGAAGCCCAGCUUGCUGGGUGGAUUAGUGGCGAACGGGUGAGUAACACGUGAGUAACCUGCCCUUAACUCUGGGAUAAGCCUGGGAAACUGGGUCUAAUACCGGAUAGGAGCGUCCACCGCAUGGUGGGUGUUGGAAAGAUUUAUCGGUUUUGGAUGGACUCGCGGCCUAUCAGCUUGUUGGUGAGGUAAUGGCCCACCAAGGCGACGACGGGUAGCCGGCCUGAGAGGGUGACCGGCCACACUGGGACUGAGAGACGGCCCAGACUCCUACGGGAGGCAGCAGUGGGGAAUAUUGCACAAUGGGCGCAAGCCUGAUGCAGCGACGCCGCGUGAGGGAUGACGGCCUUCGGGUUGUAAACCUCUUUCAGUAGGGAAGAAGCGAAAGUGACGGUACCUGCAGAAGAAGCACCGGCUAACUACGUG